GUGAAGAACGUAGCAAAAUGCGAUAAGUAAUGUGAAUUGCAGAAUUCAGUGAAUCAUCGAAUCUUUGAACGCACAUUGCGCCCGCCAGUAUUCUGGCGGGCAUGCCUGUUCGAGCGUCAUUUCAACCCUCAAGCACAGCUUGGUGUUGGGACUCGCGUUAAUUCGCGUUCCCCAAAUUGAUUGGCGGUCACGUCGAGCUUCCAUAGCGUAGUAGUAAAACCCUCGUUACUGGUAAUCGUCGCGGCCACGCCGUUAAACCCCAACUUCUGAAUGUUGACCUCGGAUCAGGUAGGAAUACCCGCUGAACUUAAGCAUAUCAAUAAGCUGAGGA
rnacentral:misc_RNA from 1 species